rnacentral:misc_RNA from 1 species
GAUGAAGAACGGAGCGAAAUGCGAUACGUAAUGUGAAUUGCAGAAUUCAGUGAAUCAUCGAAUCUUUGAACGCAUAUUGCGCUCUCUGGUAUUCCGGAGAGCAUGCUUGUUUGAGUAUCAGUAAACACCUCAACUUCCAUAUCUUUUUUGAAAUGGGAGUUGGACUUGAGUGAUCCCAACGCUUUUCCUCACCGAAAAGUGGCGGGUUACUUGAAAUGCAGGUGCAGCUGGACUUUUCUCUGAGCUAUAAGCAUAUCUAUUUAGUCUGCCUGAAAAGCAGAUUAUUACCUUUGCUGCAGCUAACAUAAAGGAGAUUAGUUCUUGUGCUGACUGAUGCAGGAUUCACAAAGACGGCUUCGGCCGACUUUGUAAACUCGAUCUCAAAUCAAGUAAGACUACCCGCUGAACUUAAGCAUAUCAAUAAGCGGAGGA